AUUGAACGCUGGCGGCAGGCCUAACACAUGCAAGUCGAGCGAGCGGCGGACGGGUGAGUAAUGUAUGGGGAUCUGCCUGAUGGCGGGGGAUAACUUCUGGAAACGGUCGCUAAUCCCGCAUACCAUCAGAUGAACCCAUAUGGGAUUAGCUAGUCGGUGAGGUAACGGCUUACCUAGGCGACGAUCCCUAGCUGGUCUGAGAGGAUGAACAGCCACACUGGGACUGAGACACGGCCCAGACUCCUACGGGAGGCAGCAGUGGGGAAUAUUGCACAAUGGGCGCAAGCCUGAUGCAGCCAUGCCGCGUGUAUGAAGAAGGCCUUCGGGUUGUAAAGUACUUUCAGUCGUGAGGCGUUACCGACAGAAGAAGCACCGGCUAACUCCGUGCCAGCAGCCGCGGUAAUAC
rnacentral:rRNA from 1 species